UCCGUAGGCGGAUUGAUAAGUCAGAGGUGAAAUCCCACAGCUCAACUGUGGAACUGCCUUUGAUACUGGUUGUCUUGAGUUAUAGUGAAGUAGAUAGAAUAUGUAGUGUAGCGGUGAAAUGCAUAGAUAUUACAUAGAAUACCGAUUGCGAAGGCAGUCUACUAACUGUAUACUGACGCUAAUGGACGAAAGCGUGGGGAGCGAACAGGAUUAGAUACCCUGGUAGUCC
rnacentral:rRNA from 1 species